AUUUCUGAUUAAAGCUGAAAAACUGCUUAUAUGCUCAACACUCUUGAUGACAAUCUGUAGGCAGCAUGCGAGACGGCCAAGGAAUAUAGUAAAAAUUUAAACAUUUUACCGACAUCAACACAGCUCUAAAUAAAUCAUCUGUUUAAAAACUGUUAUCACUUCGUUUCACAUUACUUGACCUGGCUGGCUCGUUGAUAACUCUACUUUGUAACCUUGUCUCAAUUGCAAAAAAUAAGGUCAUGCUACAAAUGGAGGACAUUUGAAAGACAUUUGAAGACAAUAAAAUAAUUCGUGUGACCUUGUGUGACAAAAUAAGAGAGUUUAUCGAUAUCUGACCGUUCUUUAAAGUACCUCACAUUAAUGAUCUUACUCAUUAGCUAUAAUUGGCUUUUUUCUCACAAGAAGAAAAUAUAACCACUUGAACUCAAAAGAAUUGUAUGCUUGGCGCCGGAUCAUCACAUGACUUAUAUAAAUAGUUUCUGAAAUAAGGCCGUCGCUAAGAGGGGGUGUUGGGGGUGUGACACUCCCCGUGAAAACAUCUUGUCGGCAAAUGAAGGAUUUUGUCGGCGAUUUUGACAUUUUUCGUCUUCGCGACGGCCCUGGUAAUGAAAGACGAGAUGUAACCAUUCUACGUUGCAAAGACAGUUACAUCAUAAUUUGCGGUUUUGAAAUGUAUAUCUUGCCACGGUGGAUUAGUGGCGUUGUGGAUUCCGAACAAGAGCGACAAUGGCGCCGAAAUGCUGCGGGUGGGGGAGGUUCUUUUGAAUUUUUAGGACUAGUUCUGAACAAAAGCCCUUUUUUACCGUUACGCCAUACAUUGUUCCCCCACUCUUCUGCCUGGAAUUUAACUUUUGGAGGUUCCUGUGCACCCUCCCACCCCCUUGCCGAUACACCACUAUAGGCUGGGAAAUUAGCUAUCGUACAUUUUCUAGUUCAUUCUCUUUCACAAACAAAAGGGGCGUAGCCUACAUUUAUUUUUGAAAUUAAAAAUUUAAAAGAGUUUGCUUGAAAAUAUAAUGCAGAAGUAAAACUAAGGACAUAUAUAUAGGACAUAUAAUUAUAAUUUCAUUUGCUAGAUAUUGCCUAACUGUUGAGGGGACACUUGGAUAUUUCACAUUGCUGACUCCUGAGUAUUUGUUAACAGGUUAAACCACUUCGGCACUUGUGAUGUUUUCAC